GGCACAGUGGUCUAAUGGUACGACUCUCGCUUCGUAGGUUACCUGCUGAUUUUAGGCAACCUGGGUUCAAUUCCCAGCUGAGCCG